ensembl:lncRNA
AUUGCAGGUGGACUGGAAGGAAUCACAACCUUCUUACCAGUCAAUAUUAUCUGCUGUUUAAACAGGUGUAUCUGUACCAUAGCACUGGCUUUCAUUUGAAGGGCACAGCACACUGAGUGAUGUUCACAUGAUACCAAUGACAGCAGCACGAUAAGCCUAUUUCUGACAGUGUGGCAAAUUACUAUUAUGAAAUCCCAGUACAUUUGAUUGCAGAGUGACUUUCAGAAGGGAUCACAGGCAGCAAGGUUAUGAAAG